UACGGGGGGAGCAAGCGUUGUUCGGAUUUACUGGGCGUAAAGGGCGCGUAGGCGGUCAGCACAAGUCAGUUGUGAAAUCUCCGGGCUUAACCCGGAAAGGUCAACUGAUACUGUGCGACUAGAGUGCGGAAGGGGCAACUGGAAUUCUCGGUGUAGCGGUGAAAUGCGCAGAUAUCAGGAGGAACACCGGUGGCGAAGGCGGGUCUCUGGGCCGAUAUUGACGCUGAGGAGCGAAAGCGUGGGGAGCAAACAGG
rnacentral:rRNA from 1 species